rnacentral:lncRNA from 1 species
GGUCGAAGCGCGUAGACGCUGUCCCAAAGAAGUAUUUGCCCCCACGUACGGGUCACCCGGCAAUCCUUCUCGGAGAUACGACGACCCUACAACUUCUUCUUCGGCACGUCUCGGAAGAAGUCAAAGCGAACCCGAUCGGACUUGCAGAUCCAGCAAAGAACGGAAUGAAAAGAACUAAAUAAACUGAAUAAAAAUGUAAAAAUAAAAUUUGGAAGUGGCUAAGAGGGAGAAGAAUUUUUUUCAGAAUUUU